GUCCCUAUAACGCAAUAGGUAGCGCGUUGGACUUUUAUUCCAAAUGUCGUGGAUUCGAAUCCCACUUGAGAUG